rnacentral:rRNA from 2 species
UGGGGAAUAUUGCGCAAUGGGGGAAACCCUGACGCAGCAACGCCGCGUGAAGGAUGAAGGUUUUCGGAUUGUAAACUUCUUUGACGAGGGACGAAAGAAAUGACGGUACCUCGAAAACAAGCCACGGCUAACUACGUGCCAGCAGCCGCGGUAAUACGUAGGUGGCAAGCGUUGUCCGGAUUUACUGGGUGUAAAGGGCGAGUAGGCGGGAUUGCAAGUCAGAUGUGAAAUCUAUCGGCUUAACUGAUAGACUGCAUUUGAAACUGCGGUUCUUGAGUGAUGGAGAGGCAGGCGGAAUUCCUAGUGUAGCGGUGAAAUGCGUAGAUAUUAGGAGGAACACCAGUGGCGAAGGCGGCCUGCUGGACAUUAACUGACGCUGAGGCGCGAAAGCGUGGGGAGCAAACAGG